rnacentral:rRNA from 1 species
GAUGAACGCUGGCGGCGUGCCUAAUACAUGCAAGUCGAGCGAACGGACGAGAAGCUUGCUUCUCUGAUGUUAGCGGCGGACGGGUGAGUAACACGUGGAUAACCUACCUAUAAGACUGGGAUAACUUCGGGAAACCGGAGCUAAUCCCGGAUAAUAUUUUGAACCGCAUGGUUCAAAAGUGAAAGACGGUCUUGCUGUCACUUAUAGAUGGAUCCGCGCUGCAUUAGCUAGUUGGUAAGGUAACGGCUUACCAAGGCAACGAUGCAUAGCCGACGUGAGAGGGUGAUCGGCCACACUGGAGCUGAGACACGGUCCAGACGCCUACGGGAGGCAGCAGUAGGGAAUCGUCCGCAGUGGGCGAAAGCCUGACGGAGCAACGCCGCGUGAGUGAUGAAGGUCUUCGGAUCGUAAAACUCUGUUAUUAGGGAAGAACAUAUGUGUAAGUAACUGUGCACAUCUUGACGGUACCUAAUCAGAAAGCCACGGCUAACUACGUG